ACAUCCUAGACAUAGCGAAGGACAUGAAGUAGCAGAAAUAGUGUCUCCUUCCCUCAGAGAAAUUCUCAUGGUAGAAACAAGACAUUAUCUGGAUAACUGUGGUUCAGUGUUUUGUUUUAUUUUUUUAAAGAUGAUUAGGAUAACAAAUAAAUAAAGCUGUCAUCGAACUUGAUAGAAAACAAACUCAGGAGUUCAGCGAGUCCUCCCUCCUGACUUUAUACACAAAUUAUGCCACUUGUUGAGACCUAUCUUGAUUUAGAAUUUUUCAGCAGAAAUUCCAUUUACUCCUUCAGUGCAUCAUUCCAGUGUUAGCAUUCCUUUUUUCUCAGGAUAUAGGCUAUUUUUUGUACACUUAACUCCCUGCUG
rnacentral:lncRNA from 1 species